CGAGUACUUUGUAAGCCAGGGCGACGUAGUCGGGUGGCCCCGCUCAGCUCAAGGUCUGGGCUGGCCCGAGGUAGCUCCUCUUCCGCUGUCAGUUCUGCAUCGCGUGCUCCUGGAAUUUCCCGAGUCCGAGCGGGUUGCUGCUGCUUUUGCUAAGAGAACAUCCAUGACUCUGAUGGUGCUUUCAUUCAACAUAAAGUGCUUUAUUUCCUUUAUUGAUUGACUGAACAAAUUCAGUGCUGAGGUUUCUUGCACAAUGAAUCAUCACCUCUCUGGAUUGGGUAAGAUAGUACUAAAGUUUUUAUUUUCUUUAAGGAUAGGGACAAAUUGGAAGUGUGUGUUCUCUUGGAUGAGGUGUAUUCAUAUAUUUCUGUGUGUUAUAUAACACACGCAUAGAGACACACACACACACACAUUUGUUGUUUUCAUUUUUUUUCUACCGGGGAUCGAACUUGGGACCUUGCAUUUAUGAGGCAGACGAUGGCACCACUGAGCUAAAACCCUGGCCCAGAUAACCAAG
rnacentral:lncRNA from 1 species